rnacentral:rRNA from 1 species
UACGUAGGUGGCAAGCGUUGUCCGGAAUUACUGGGCGUAAAGGGCGUGUAGGUGGACUGAUCAGUCGGAUGUGAAAUAUCCAGGCUUAACCUGGGGGCUGCAUCCGAUACGGUCAGUCUUGAGUGCAGGAGAGGGCAGUGGAAUUCCCAGUGUAGCGGUGAAAUGCGUAGAUAUUGGGAGGAACACCAGUGGCGAAGGCGGCUGCCUGGACUGUAACUGACACUGAGGCGCGAAAGCGUGGGGAGCAAACAGG